CAUGUAGGCGGUUUGAUCAGUCGGAUGUGAAAUCCCCGAGCUUAACUUGGGAAUGGCAUUCGAUACUGUCAGGCUAGAGUAGGCUAGAGGGAAGGGGAAUUCCGCGUGUAGCAGUGAAAUGCGUAGAUAUGCGGAGGAACACCAAUGGCGAAGGCACCUUUCUGGGGUCAUACUGACGCUGAGAUGCGAAAGCGUGGGGAGCAAACA
rnacentral:rRNA from 1 species